rnacentral:lncRNA from 1 species
CAGUCAUUACUUUUCUUCGGUGGCACUUUGUUUUCUUGUGACAGUGAAAAGGGUACUGUGGAGACGAGACAGCCCCAUUGCAGUUUAUCAAUGAAAAUCUAAUACCGCCCAUAAGCAGAGAAGUGGAAAUCAAUACUUCAUUACCAAAUUGUUGAUGGGAUUAUGGAGUCUUAACUGCUGAACAGUUAUCCCUAAUUAUAAUCAAAGGUAUGUCAAUCUAAAUAAAAAUGAUAAGACAGAGAGGCAUUCUCUGCUAUCUACUCCACCCCCCUCCACUAGCUUUUUAACAUGAAUCUCUUCUCAGUAUGAUGCUUUGACAAAGCUUGGAUUGAAUAAUUA